AGCAUAACUCUUGAAUGAGUAGGUUUGUCCAAACCUUUGACUGGUACUGUAUAUUUUGAUGUACUUGUCGUGACAUAACUCUACUCUGAAAUUAUUUGCGUAGAAUGUCCUUCAGUCAGCAAAACUGAAAUUACACUUCUGCAUAGAGCGUUUAAAUAAUUGUGACCAAUCCCUAUUCCUACCUUUCAACCACACCCUGGACAUCAUACAGGAGCUCCCAGUACAGAAUCUAAAGCCAGCGGUGGUCAAGAUCUACGACUACUACCAGCCGAGUGACCAGGCAGAGACAGAAUAUGUCUUCCCUUGCAAGUAGGGGUUACAAGCUGCUGUCCUAUUUUAAAUCUAGAAUUAUCGGUCAUCCUUUAUAGCUGACCCAUAUACUAUACAUGUACUAUAAAUUAUUUUAUUUAACUGAGUCAAUAUUCCUUUUACCUAAAUGCUGGUCAGUUUGUUAAAGCAUUCAUUCCUUACAUGUAUCUAUCUAUCAUUGUAUUUACCCCUCUGCAGAUAUAAGAAGAAUUACAUUCACAGAGGUCACACCUGCAACCCCUGAGACAUAUUUUAAACUCUAAAGUAAACUAUGUAACUGGAAUUAAAGUUUUUCAUUAACUCUA